AGAGUUUGAUCCUGGCUCAAGUGAACGCUGGCGGCAUGGUUAAGACAUGCAAGUCGAACGAGAAGCAUUACUUCGGUUUUGUGGAAAGUGGCGAACGGGUGCGUAACACGUGAGCAACCUGCCCUUGAGUAUGGAAUAGCCCGACGAAAGUCGGAUUAAUGCCGUAUGUGGCCUUUCUUCGCAUGAUGAAAUGGCUAAAGCUUGUAAUGGCGCUCAAGGAUGGGCUCGCGGCCUAUCAGCUUGUUGGUGAGGUAAAGGCUCACCAAGGCUAAGACGGGUAGCUGGUCUGAGAGGAUGAUCAGCCACACCGGGACUGAGACACGGCCCGGACACCUACGGGUGGCAGCAGUUUCGAAUCAUUCACAAUGGGCGAAAGCCUGAUGGUGCAAUGCCGCGUGGAGGAUGACGGCCCUAGGGUUGUAAACUCCUGUCAUUGGGGAGCAACAAGCAGGUUUAUAGCCUGCCCUGAGUUAACCCAAAGAGGAAGAGGUGGCUAACUCCGUGCCAGCAGCCGCGGUAAUACGGAGACCUCGAGCGUUACUCGGAUUCACUGGGCGUAAAGGGUGAGUAGGCGGCCAAGUAUGUCGGGUGUGAAAUCCCGGGGCUUAACCCCGGAACUGCGCCCGAAACUACUUGGCUAGAGUCUCGGAGAGGAUAGUGGAAUUCCAGGUGUAGCGGUGAAAUGCGUAUAUAUCUGGAGGAACACCAGUGGCGAAGGCGACUGUCUGGACGAGAACUGACGCUCAAUCACGAAAGCGUGGGUAGCGAAAGGGGAUUAGAUACCCCUGUAGUCCACGCCGUAAACGUUGUACACUAAGUUUCGGAGGAUUCGACCCCUUCGGAGCUCAAGCUAACGCGUUAAGUGUACCGCCUGAGGACUACGGCCGCAAGGCUAAAACUCAAACGAAUUGACGU
rnacentral:rRNA from 1 species